rnacentral:rRNA from 1 species
AACAGCAAGGUAUUAACUUACUGCCCUUCCUCCCAACUUAAAGUGCUUUACAAUCCGAAGACCUUCUUCACACACGCGGCAUGGCUGGAUCAGGCUUUCGCCCAUUGUCCAAUAUUCCCCACUGCUGCCUCCCGUAGGAGUCUGGACCGUGUCUCAGUUCCAGUGUGACUGAUCAUCCUCUCAGACCAGUUACGGAUCGUCGCCUUGGUAGGCCUUUACCCCACCAACUAGCUAAUCCGACCUAGGCUCAUCUGAUAGCGUGAGGUCCGAAGAUCCCCCACUUUCUCCCUCAGGACGUAUGCGGUAUUAGCGCCCGUUUCCGGACGUUAUCCCCCACUACCAGGCAGAUUCCUAGGCAUUACUCACCCGUCCGCCGCUGAAUCCAGGAGCAAGCUCCCUUCAUCCGCUCGACUUGCAUGUGUUAGGCCUGCCGCCAGCGUUCAAUCUGAGCCAGGAUC